UACAGGGGGGGCAAGCGUUGUUCGGAAUUACUGGGCGUAAAGGGCCAGUAGGCGGCCAACUAAGUCACACGUGAAAUCCCCAGGCUUAACCUGGGAACUGCGUGUGAUACUGGAUGGCUUGAGGUUGGGAGAGGGAUGCGGAAUUCCAGGUGUAGCGGUGAAAUGCGUAGAUAUCUGGAGGAACACCGGUGGCGAAGGCGGCAUCCUGGACCAAUUCUGACGCUGAGGAGCGAAAGCCAGGGGAGCAAACGGG
rnacentral:rRNA from 1 species